rnacentral:rRNA from 1 species
GGGUCAGUAGGUUGGUCGUGCCACCGGUACGUACUGGUCUCACUGAUUCCUCCUUCCUGAAGAACCGUAAUGCCAUUAAUUUGGUGUUGCGGGGAAACAGGACUGUUACUUUGAAAAAAUUAGAGUGUUUAAAGCAAGCUAACGCUUGAAUACAUUAGCAUGGAAUAAUGAAAUAGGUCGAUCGAUCCUAUUUUGUUGGUUUCUAGGAUUGACGUA